rnacentral:sRNA from 1 species
AUGCAUUUACAGAUGAACGUUAUUUGUGUGUUUAUUUCGUCUUGUGAUCUUUACACGAUGGUAGCGUAGUAAAAUGGAAAGAAUACCUCCUCCGAGAUAUGAGAUAGGAACCUGACUGAAGAGUGGCGAAGAUUUAAACAAAGACUUGUAAUUGGACAAGAAAAGAGACAAUAACUCAUCUGUUACUCCUACAGUAUCGGGUCCCAUCUCUGAUGUGGUCUGGACAACAGCAAGUGAUAGGAUCAUUGCGUGUUGAGAAAGCUAAAAGCAU